ACGGUUGUUGUACACGUAUCAGAGGAUUUCUUCCUUCCUUAAUUUUCAUUUGACAUUUGUCCUUUGCCCAAUACAUGCCAGUUUAUACGUGCCAUUUUAGCUCUGAAUAUUUUUCAAAAGAAAGCAUCAACUAGUUCUCUCAAGGCACCCCCAUCAGCUAGCUCUCGAACUUUCCCAAACCUACAGAAUGGCAAGAGAAACGAAAGGAAAUCCUAUGAAUUCAAGAAAAAAAGUGGCAAUCAGAGCAGCUAUGAGCAGCAAAAACAAAGAGCAAUCAGGAGAACAAUGCCAACCCAAAGCUCCUUGCAGCAAAUUCCAACAACUUCCACAGGCUUUGGUCUUGGAAAUCCUCUCAAGCCUCUCCAUCAAGACCCUCUUGAAUUGUAGGUGCGUGUGCAAAGACUGGCUUUCUAUAAUUUCUGACCCUCAAUUUACUAAGCUCCACUCUUCAAGGUCACCCGUUGGCAUCUUGAUCAAGACCUACCCCCCUAUAAGAAAAUCAAGGAAACUUGAUUUUACCCAUAUAGAAGAUUGUGCUGGUUCUGAUUUGCUGCUUGAGAAAAUAAGGUUUAAUCCCCAAAACAGCCUACCCAUUGGGGCCAUGCCUGAAUUUCGUUUGAUAAACUCAUGUAAUGGUCUGCUCUGUUUGUCUGGACCCAAUAGAGAUUACCCAUGUUUUGUGUGCAAUCCAAUUUUGGGUGAGCACAUCAGCAUCCCUCCUACCAAUCUAAGUAGAAACAAGUGUUUUUUUGUUGGGCUUGGUUUUAGCAAUGGAACCAGUGAGUACAAGUUGUUGCAAAUGACCAAUGGCACUGAGGCUGAGAUAUACACCAUUGGUACAGGAGUGUGGAGAAGUAUUGGAAAUGCUCCUGGGGAUAUUGAUCAGUUACCCUUCAAUCCUUUUCUGCAUGGAGCUCUUCAUUGGGUAUCCUAUAGUAGUACAGUUCCUGAUUUUAUACAUUCUUUCGACUUCGAAAGAGAACAAUUUCGACCACUGCCUGUGCCUAGCUUACUGGGAAAUCGAUUUUCAGAUUGUUAUAUACUAGAAGUGGUAGGUGGGUGUCUCUGUUUCUCUGUGUUUGAUGAUGAUUAUAGCAAAUUCGACAUGUGGGUUAUGAAGGAGUAUGGUGUUCAAGGGUCUUGGACUAAAGUUCUUGUUUUCGGAAACUUGUACGAGUGUCCAGAGGAACGAAUCUGUCAUGUGUAUGAACCAAUUAUGUUUUUGAGGAAUGGGGAAAUCCUGCUGUUGUUCAAUAAUUGUGCUGUUGUUUGUUAUAAUCAAGAAACAAAGAGUUUCAGGGAAAUAAGAAUUACUUGGACUCGGUCACCAUUUGAGGCAAUUGCUUACAGUCCAUCCUUUGUUUCCCUCUACAAUGUUUCAAAAGGAGAAGAGGUGAAGAGGAAUUUGAACAAUAACACGGAUGCUUCAGUAAGUGGCUGGGACAUUGGUCACUGAUCAGCUCAUUUUGGCAUGCUUACCGUGUAUGAUAUGAAGGGUACAAUGCGGUAAGAAAUCGGGUAAGAAAUCUGGAAAGCUGCUUUCGGAAGGGAGCUAUGAGUGUGCCGGCUCUAGUAUGCCACCCCGCAAGUCCACAAAACUUAACUCAGGCUAUGGAUGCCCUGCUUUUGAGGAGGGUCUUCCUUGAACCAUAAAUCCUCUGCUAUGGAUGCCCUGCUUUUGAGGAGGGUCUUCCUUGAACCAUAAAUCCUCUCUGGAUUUCACUCGGAGGAUAUGGACUGCGUUCACUCUAUGCGGUGUCCACUUGGGUUAUGUUGUAAGAGGUUUAGGUUCCCAAUGUGCCAACAAUGUUCUGAGUCUUUUGAUGACACCGGUUCCUCAUGAGAGCUUCUCGAUUGCUUGUAUAUAGGUUUUUGUAAUACCCAAGUAGCUCUCCUUUUGUUCUUCAGAAUAGACAGAAAAAGGCAGCAUUUUGUUUUAUAGCCAUUAUAGUAACUCUGCCCCUAUAGAUCAAUCUGCAGGUGAUGACUUGUCUAGACAAAAACCUGGUUGAAACUUUUGUAAAA